GAACGAGAAAGUGGGGCAAUCCAUGAGUAAAGUGGCGUACGGGUGAGUAACACGUGGAUCAUCUGCCCUUUAGUGGGGAAUACCGCUGGGAAACCGGCGACAAUACCGCAUAAGCUCGAGAGAGGAAAGCAGCAAUGCGCUGAAGGAGGAGUCCGCGGCCGAUUAGCUAGUUGGUAGGGUAAUGGCCUACCAAGGCUGUGAUCGGUAGCCGGCCUGAGAGGGCACACGGCCACACUGGCACUGAAACACGGGCCAGACUCCUACGGGAGGCAGCAGUGGGGAAUCUUGCACAAUGGGGGAAACCCUGAUGCAGCGACGCCGCGUGAGCGAUGAAGCCCUUCGGGGUGUAAAGCUCUUUCGGCAGGGAAGAUUAUGACGGCACCUGUAGAAGCAGCUGCGGCUAACUACGUGCCAGCAGCCGCGGUAAUACGUAGGCAGCAAGCGUUGUUCGGAGUUACUGGGCGUAAAGGGUGCGUAGGCGGUUCUAUAAGUAUGGUGUGAAAUCUCCCGGCUUAACUGGGAGGGUGCGCUAUAGACUGUGGGACUAGAGUGUGGGAGAGGAAAGUGGAAUUCCUGGUGUAGCGGUGAAAUGCGUAGAUAUCAGGAGGAACACCGGUGGUGUAAACGGCUUUCUGGACCAUAACUGACGCUAAGGCAC
rnacentral:rRNA from 1 species